rnacentral:lncRNA from 10 species
AUUGGGAUACUGAGGCCCAGAGAGGGUGCUGUGAACUCUGUGAUUCCUGAGAUUUUGUUAAGGAUUUCUCCGGCUGCAACUUUUGGAGGGAGAUGAUGUUUGAAGGGACGAAAUGAGAAGUGGAGUGCACUAAGAAUGGCAGGUAUGACAAGUUCUUGGCCAGGCAUGGUGGUUCAUGCCUGUAAUCCCAGCAAUCUGGGAGGCUGAGGCGGGAGGAUUGCUCGAGCCCAAGAGUUUGAGACCAGCCUACGCAACAAAGCAAGCUCAUCAAACUGGCCCAAGGAUCUUGGAUGCAUCGCCCUUGGCAGAUUGUGUUUCUUCUUUGAAAUUCUCCUUUGAAGUGGCCCUCAUUGCCAACCACCAAGCCUGCAAUGGGGAGACUUCCCCCAGUACUCCUACCGAUGCCUCCCACCCUGCCUACUACCUUGGACACAUGACUUCAUGAUAUGGAAAGAAGAAUCUCUUCUGGAAAAGAGUGCAAUAAAGAAAUCCAAGGACCUGCACUCAAAGCAAAUGUUCUCCGUGGGUGAUUAGUAUAAACCCUCAUUCAGCAUAAGUUGGUUAUUAGAUUUGCCAGUCUCUAACAUGACCUAACGGGAAAAAUCACCAAGUACUGAAAUGUUCUGAUGGAAGGGUAUUAGAAAAAACCACUCAAGCAAUAUUUAUUUAUUUAUGUUUUCAGUUGGGCCAAUUCAGAAAAACAAAAAUUUGCAGGCCACAUAUUUUGUCCAAGAUGAAAAUAGCUUUAUUAUUUUUUCCUGAUUAUAAAAAUAAUACUCAUUUAUUAUUACAAAACUUGAAAGUUAUUUGUAUGAAAAGAAGUAAAUAUAGCUUGAAAUCUGAAAGUUCAUAGUGGGCCACAGUUUAAAAGGCAAUUCAAGUAGUUUCUUUUUUAUUUGAUUGGCUAGAAAAGUGUUGAUGAGUGACUUUUAGUUACUAAAUUUUGAAUAUUUGAAAUUCAAUAUUUAAAUGUUUGAAAAAGAGGACCAUAAAGGCCGUUUUCUAAUCUUUUACUCAGAAUUGAAAUCCUGGAUUGUGCUGUAGCCCUUGAGCCCCAGGUUGCACAUUACUGAUUUAAAAACACUUGGAACGACACGAGAGGUCAAGAGGGCUGGUGAGGCCUGGGGGAGCCUGGAAGCAGCAUCAGGGUCCUCGUUGCCUUGGGACUGGGGGGACGUUACAAAGGAACAGGGAGUAUAUCCAAGAAGACAAAGACCUGAAGCUAGACCCUACCUUCUAGGAAGUCACAGACCAUGACCGUCAUGUUUACCAUCUUGUUGUAGUGACAGGGCUAGCACAGGACUAAAUAGAUACUCAGUAAAUACUUCUUGAUUUAGGACAAAUUUUAUCUACUUCACUCUUUGGCCCUGGGGUAGUGGUGCCUGAUUACAAGUCACUAGAAUGGAAGAAGUCCUCAGGAAUACUCAGUAAAUACUUCUUGAUGUAGGACAAAUUUCAUCUACUUCACUCUUUGGCCCUGGGGUAGUGGUGCCUGAUCACAAGUCACUAGAAUGGAAGAAGUCCUCAGGGUUGAGACUGUUAUAUGUCUGAUAAUCUAGAACAAUUACAACACCCAUCAAAGUUACCCAGUGGGACUAAAAGUAUUUAGGCACCAAGGAACUUAUGUACCAAAAAUAAAGAGAUUCUUCUUCCCCUGCCCAGGGUAAACCUUCAGGGUGAUAGCUGCUUUUGACUGAUAAAGAUUUAUAAGGCAAACUAUAAAAUUAUAAAACAUGAUUUUCAAUUUAAUGAAACUGUGGACUUGAAGAAACAUGCAGGUCUUUGAAGGAACCCCUCAGGGAGUAGAUAAGAGUUUUGAAGAGACUAGGAACGAAUGACUUUUUGAAGCAAUUUAUAGACCCAAUGGCCCUGAGGGGAAAACGUUUGGGGCCUAUGUGCUGUGUCAAGAUUAUCUCAGGUCCAGACUCAAGAUCUAUGGGAACUUUGUAGCACUCCCAGUCACUGAGAGGGGGGCUGGGGACAGAUGAGGUUGGGGCCUGGCAAGAGGGCCCAUAAGAAUGUAAGACAAGCUUCUGCUCUCUUCUCUUACUCAUAUUGGCAUGAAUGGGUUUCAGGAAAAAUACCCAGAGUAUAGCAUGUGUCUAAUGGGAAGGAUUAUGCAGGCAUCUUUAUUUAGCAAAGGCCAUGCUUGUCUUGGGGAGUUGGGUUGCUUGUCAACACCCUGACCUCCAUGGUAUGAGUCUUCCUCUGCAUGAGAUGGGCUGUGCUUUGGUGCUACUCUCUAUAAACUUUUUCCAGCUUUAUUCAAAGUUUAAGAACAUCAUUCCUGCAACUCCAUCAGCAAGAACUGCUUUUGUCCUACCUUGCGCUCUGGAAAGUCUUUAAUGAGAUAUCUGAAAUUCUUGGCAGAGAUUAUAGGCUAACUUGAUUUACCUAACAUAAUAAUAACUCAUGAAAUUAGUUCCUCAAUCUAACACUAU